AGCCUGGGAAUCUCCAUAUGCCCGGGUGCGGCCCUAAAAAGCCAAAAAAAAAAAAACAAAAACAAAUCUCCAUCUAAGUGUCAUUUGUAUGAGGAUCUCAGAAAAAGAAAUGAGGCUUCCAAACAGAUGUAAUUAAUACCAAGAGGGUCGUAUGUCUAGUCCUAAUUUACCUGGUCCAAGACUUACUGAACUGAAACAGAAAAUGCACAGACAUUGCCAGCACCCUGUGCAUGUAUUUUAAAAUCAUGCUUGGAUUUGCAGAGCAGGUAACAGAGGAAGCCUGCUUUGCCUUUGUAAUUUUAGGAGGAAAACCCACUUCCUGUCUGGGAACGAGGGGUCAGUGGUGUGGAUCAGAUCUUGCCUUUUAAUCCUCGCUGGGGGUUGUAUUUCUUUGUGGUGAGCGUGUCCUCAGACUGUUUGAGCAUAUUUUGGAAGGCUCUCUGCAGCUGUGGGAAGUAACUCACACCAGAAUUCAGGCCAAUGGCACACUUACAUUAUGUACCGCAUCAAGAAAGGACCCCAAAGGGCGUAAGUGCCAGCUUUCUACAGAUGUCUCCUCUUUGGCUCCCUGCUCUGGACAGGCCCUGAGUGUGUUUCUUUUUUGUAUCAUGAAAACUGGAGCCCCAGGUACCCCAGGUCUAGCAAAGGCUGUCCGGGCAAGAGUUCCUGCGGCUCCGUUUGUGAAUUAGCCAAGCUCUCUGCGUCCCGGUUUCCUCCCUUGCCUUUCCUGCAGCAGUGCAUCGACAAAGAUGUUAUUUCUCUGUUAUCCAGCCUUUGUGGUUAUUGGAGAUGAUUUCUGUACGGUGGAAGAGGUUUGGUGGUUUCAGGAGAGGUGACAUGAAGUCAUCAGAGCUAAAGGGCUGAGGUCAGGGUUAGGCGGAGCUGCUUGGGAAACCUUGCAGAGUCCAUGGUGGGAAACAGGAACAGCAGGAACAGCAGCAGCUGAGUGCCGAGGACACCGCCCGGGACUUGGGGGCCUGGGGGUGGGGGAGAGGAGGAUGCUUGAGUUUCUGGCCGGGCCACCAGGGGAUUGAUGGCGUUGGCUAGUGAGGGGCUGCUCAGGGGGGGACAGCGCGGGCGAGGGGGCAAGGUCGUGUUGAAUUACAAUGUCAUGUCAUGAGGGAAGAAAGACAGCUGACUCCCAGCUCCAGGCUUGAUGCUAUGUCCUAAGUCCUGGGCAUGUGGCGAGAGUGUUGGUCUGUGCUGGGCCCGAGCCUCUCCAGGAAGAGAGUGGGCGAGGCCAUGCCUGUGUCCUAGCAGGUGGGGAAGGAGGGCGCAAGCGUGGAGUCACCACGCACAGGGGUCCUUAUCGAGGAGAAGACUCUUCCUCCUCCAAGAUCGUCAAGACAGGGGGACACCGGGAGGGAAGAUGACCAAGGCCGGGAAGGGAGCAGGAGGCCCCAGCCAUCUCUCCAUCCUGGGGCGUGUCUGCCAUGGGUUCAGGGCAAAGAGGCAUUUGGGCCAACUGAGUGCCAUCCUGGGGAGUUUAACAGGGCACGUGCAUAUUUGGUGAGGCCUUCCUUAAAAAAAUGAGCACAAAGUAAUGAUGACAUCUUAAGGCUGUGGCUUUGGAAGGGUCCGCAGGCGACCACGAGACACUCAAGCUGCUUCAUUGCAGAUCCGCUUCCAAGCCAUCACCUGGGUGGUGGUGUGAGCAGAGCAGGGGAGAACGGGGGUGGGGGCUGGGGGGGUGGUAUCCAGUCAUUUGAAACAUGGAAUGUGUUGGCUCUCAGCUGUUUAGAGAGAAGAACGAAGAUACAGGAAAUUUCUGGGGCAAACACUGAAAGAAAUUUGAUGCCUAAGAAUAAUAACAGGAGUAAUUUUCAGGCUGUGAUGUGAACACAAUUCUAAGUAUUGGCCCCGAAUCUCUUGUUAGUGCAUUCUCUGAGCCAUUAACAAAUGACUGGGUGAAAAUUGAAAAUAUUUGAGCUGAGAUGAGAAGGAGAGGGCUUUUGACAAGAGGGGUUGGGGGAAAAAAUGGAGCGGUGAGCCUGUGGCCACGAAGCUCUCACGUGAGAUGACUUCAUCUCCUGUCCAGUAGAGGAGGGUUAUUUUAAUGACUGAAAUACAAGGUCCCCGUCCUGACAGUCCCCGAGAAGGAGAGUUGCUCUUGCAAAGCGUUCCAGACCGUACCUCCUUGUCGAUGGUGAAGAUGUGGGGAUGGGAGAGGCGCGGGGCCCAAUGUAAAGAAUUCCGUGUCAGCAGGAAACUCCGGAUUCCUCAAGCCAGCCGUUGAGUUUGUUCCUUGGACUAACUGUGAGUUCCAAGAGAGGAAUCUCAUCUCCUGGAUGCCAAGCCAGGACUCGAGGAGGUAACUCAGUAGAGAGAAAUACGACAGAAUCCCUACCCCGGUAAAUAUGCGAGGCCCCUCACUGCCGCCCACACCAACUGAUGAGCAGUCUAAGGACGUGGAUGCCUAUAAAGGACGAGUGAAUGGUAAACGCGGAAUUCACGAGCCCUGCUGGAAUGCACUGCUGGAAGUGAAACGUGGAGGAUCAGGGUGGAUUUCUGCCUUAGAUAAGCCCAGAGUGAAGUUCUCAAAGAGGCCACGGACAAGGGGACAGAGUCCCAGGGUCCUCAGUGUGGGCGCUGCUAGGGAGGGGCGUCCCGUGAGCAGGUGCCGGCCCGAAGGAGCAUCCUUUGGAGGCUGUCUGUCGUGGAGAUGUUGAGCGGCUGUGCUGGGUGGGGGCCCUUACACACCCGCCUGUUGCCUUGGCUGGACUCUACACACUGCCCGUCAGUGGGAGGAAACGUAUUCCCGACGGCUGGACUGACACGUGAGCCUCUGCUCUGCUCUUUGCUGUAACAACUCAUUUAUUUUCCUCUUUUCGGCGAGAGAGGGAGCAGGGUCUCGCAUGGACAGGCUCUGCUUAAAGUCAUUUUGGGUUCAAGGUGACCUGUACUUGGCUCAGACCACCCUGAAAGGUCUCUGGCAGAUCUGGCAAAGGAACAUCCAUCUUUAAUGUACAGCUGUUUCCAGGGAAAAUGAAUGUCGCCUGUACUGAAACUGGGCUUCUAGCGGCUUAGGUUUGGAACAGUGCUAAGCAUGCUCCCGCUGAGGAGGGAACGUAUUUCAGAGGGGGUUGCCUUUCAUGUUAAAAGGGAAUUUCGGAAAAUCUGGACUUCGCAGUGAACUUAAAUCCAGUGUGUGCAUGUUACAUAUUGAAACACACACACAGGAGUUCCCAUUGUGGCUCAGCGGAAAUAAACCCAACUAGCAUUCAUGAGGAAGCAGGGAUUGAACCCUCGUCCUCACGGAUACUAGUCUGAUUCGUUUCCACUGAGCUACAAAUAGGAACUCAAAGACUAUUGACAAGCACACUAACAACAACAAAAACCAUUUCAAGAAUAUUUUAUAAUGCACGAAAGCUUGUAAAAGGCUAAUUUUUUCUUUAAUUAUGGAAAUAGAUUUUAAAAGAGAUUCAGAUUUUUUUUUUUUUUUUUUUUUGGCCACACCUACGGCAUGCAGAAAUUCCCGAGCCAGGGAGGACUGAACCCAUGCCACAGCAGGGAGACAGUGCCAGAUCCUUAACUGCUAGGCCACUGGGGAACUCUGAGAUUCAGAUUUUAAUGUGGGUGUGUUUAUGAGUUUCAUUAAGAAGUCAAAGCUUCUGUGUCUGUCCAUAAAGCAUAUUUUCUUUGGGAAGAAUUUAGGUUUUAGACAGUUAGGGCCAAGAAAGUGAAAAAGAAACUUUUACGACUCAGUUUUGACUUUUAUGUGUUUAUCCUGAGCCUGCUGUUCUUGCUCCAGAGGGGAAAAAGCCUCAUUAUAUUUUAUAGGUAAAGGUUUUCCUGUUUUCGUGAGGAACCGUGAUGGUUCUCCCUGGACUUUGUGGAUGGUGAGCAGUGGUUUUCAGCAUUAUUUAGUGCAAUAUUAUAAAAUCAAAUGCAUAAUAGGCGCAUCAGCUCCAAAAAAUGAAUAUUGACAUGCUGAUUGAUUCCCAGUCUGGGAUUUGCAUUUAGGUUUUGAAAUGUUUCUUUUUUGUUUUAGUAUUUUCUUUGGCCACUUCAAAUAGAUGAGAGCUCAGUGCAUUAUGAAAUACGUUAUCAUCCACAAUCCAUUACUCAGUUCUCUUUGUUUGAUGGUUUGUUUUAGGACAUGUGGCGGUUCCCAGGCUAGGGAUCGAAUCAGAGCUACAGCUGCCAGCCUCAGUCACAGCCACAGCCAUGCAGGAUCCCGUCUGUGACCUACACCCCAGCUCACAGCAAUGCCGGAUCCUUAACCCACUGAGCGUGGCCAGGGAUGGAGCCUUCGUCCUCACAGAUGCUGGUCAGAUUCUUUUCCGCUGAGCCACCGUGGGAAAUCCCAUUAUUCAGUUCUCUGUGACGAAGAUCAGUCACGAAGAAAGACUUGUGUUCCACCGAGUAAGAUGAACCUGUGUAACUUGCAUGACCCUUUUAGAUAAUCGAUUGCCUUUUUUUCUCGCUUGGUAAAGGGUCUUCCUAUUACCACCAGUUCCUCUCCUUGUAAUGAAAACUGAACUUAAAACGGAUUUCACUGUGGGCUUUUUUGGAGAAGGUUAUUAAAUGUUUACCCCCCAACCUCUUCGAACACAUAUUGGAUUUCAGUGUAAUUUUAAACAAAUUCUUUAAAGUACAUGAGAUUUAAUAGUUCUAAUAGUAAAGAGUUAAAAAAGAAGCCAGUGAGUGUACUGCCUGUAGCACCUUAUUUCCUUUUUUUUUUUUUUUUUUAAAGCAACAGUCUCUUGAAAAGAGUGAUCGCUUUGGGGCAGUUUGAUUAAAUUUUCAGAGACCUUUUAUUUAUUAAAUAUAUUCACAUUAGUUCUAGAGAAUUUUGUGUAAAGUGGGAUCAAAUCGGCUCCAGAAUUUAUGAUGGAAGUACAGUAACCACAUAUUUCUAGCUUGAUCGUUGACAGUUUGCUUUCCCCAGCAAAUGUUCUUUCAAGAGAAUAUUCUUCACGGGAUGCUGCACUGUCUUUCCAUCGUCCAAGCGCCUGGUCCCUCGGGCAAUUUUUCGGUCCUUUGCCGCCCAAGCACCUCACCACCAAGUGCGCGUAAUUGACGAGUUUGAACAGGGCCUCCUUGUCCUUCAUCUGAACGAAAGGCUCUAUUUCUUCCAUAAAUUGGGCUUGAAAUAGGAGCUUAGCCAGAGCACUGGGUGAAGAAGAGCUGCUUGCUCUCCAUCAAGUCAGGACUUAAAGUCCGUUUCAUUAUUUCAUUGGAAGAAAGUCGUCCGCCAAGGCUGGAGUCUAUUGAAUGUGUGGUAUGAACACAUUUUAGCGCGAAUAAAAGUUCCUCUCCUGCCGGGUGAGUGUAGGUGGAGACGGGGUCUCUGGCAGUGAAGCCCCCUUACUUCAGCUACGUGUUGGGGGGGAGAGCUGGGCUCCCCUCACCCCAGAUUUUGGUCCUCCUUAUAGGGGAGUCAGGAGGCCUUUCCACUGUGGAGUGUUGGAUUCUAGGGAAGAUCCACUUCUGUUCCAGCCAGAAAUUAGACCAAAGAGAGGAGUUUGGUUGGUUGCUAGUACGGAAGUUAAAAAUCAUCUCUUUCCCAAGAGGUCUCUUAAUUAGAUUGCUUAGUUUUAAAAUGUUAAUUGGAAUUGCUGCCCUUCAGUUGCUGAAAGCGUUUCCAUUUAAAAGGAACGCCUCAUUUCCCAUAUUGCUGUGUUGUGAGAAAUCGACAGUGAUUUCUGCCUAAGAUUUUUUUGAACUGAAAGAAGGGAUUAGCCUUGUGGAAAGACUGAUAACACCAGAUGAUCUACUUUAAUUCACGUUUGUCUUAUCAGUUUCUUUUGUUUCAAAACUACUAUCUUAUCUAAUAUAUUUUUUCACCGUAUUUUUUUUUUUUUCCUUUUUUGACUGUGUCUUUAGCAUGCAGAAGUUCCCGGGCCAGGGAUCAACCCAAGCCAUGGAGUGACAACGUGGAAUCCUUAACUACUAGGCCACCAGGGAGCUCCGUUAACAGUUGCUUGAUAAGCACGAAGUAGGUUGUUUAUAUAUAGAGGGCAGUUAAUUUUGAUGAGAACAGAUUUUCAGCUCCCGUGUCUAAUUUACUGUUACAUCUGAUACAAUAUAUAUACAGUAAUUUACUUGAAACACACAUAUAAUGUGUGUAGUAGAUGCUUUCUACUUGUAUGAACUCAAAGCUUUAAUUUUAACCGUCCUCUCCAGUUUCCUUCCUGGAGUAAAGAAGAUGAUGAAGCCUGAACUAGUUGGAAUAGCAGAUGCUUAUUAUUAAUUCUUGAUCAUUCUUUUGGGGUUGUUAGAUCAGUUCUUGGAAAGAAAAACUUAUUUGAUAAUCACAGCGUUAUCGUGUGAUUAGCUGGUAGGAACAAUUUCAAAUAACACAUAACCUACAGAGAUCUAUCCUGUUCCUCUGGUAACUUUUGAAAUGAAUUCUUCAUUGUUGUGGAUAGAUUAGGAAAAUAAACUUAGUUUUCUCAUUCUUGUAACUUU